UGGCCCGCUUGUACGCGGCGGAUUGCAGGUCGGUUCCUUCAGGAGACUAGGGGCAGAGGCUGGCUUUUGUCCUGCCAGCCUCAGCCCUUAACACGGUGCCUGAAUGGACUAAGCGUCAAGCGCUAAUAAACGCCUAGUGACUGGCUUCACGUCGGACCAACUCCGGUCCACUCUCGAUUCGAACUUGUCCGAAUUCCUUCUGCAUAAAGAAACCCCUGGGAAACGAGGGCUCUUCUUACUCCCAAGAAAACGCAAUGUCCCACAGGGAGCCUUCCUCCUGGUGGGCGGGACCGCUCUCUACCCCAGCUCACCGGAAAAGGGCCUGAACCUCGCUGGGCAUCACUCCUCCUCCCCUUGGGAUGCUGCACUCUCUGAGCCCAGAAUCUGGAAAUGUGUUCGGAGAGAGAGCCCCGUCGGGGUGCAUUUAUUUAGCCCAGCCCAGUCCCGCUAGCCGGGCGAACAAUGCCUGGAAUCUACCGGGCGGGGGCUUGGUAAGUCCUCAGGACAGCUCAACUGGAUUCUCCCUAGAGAUGCUUUUGUUGGAAUAAAUCAAGCCCUCACUUCUCAGCUUGCCAGCCUGGGGCUUGCUUCAGUGAAACUAAGCUAUUAAAUGCUGGAGAUGGGAAGAAAUUCGGGGAGAUAUGUGAAGAGAUGAAAAGAGAAACUCCCCACUAUGCUUACAUUUUAAAAGCCAGAGCCACGCAAUCAAGAGAAAACAAGCAUGCACGUGAAACAAACCCGAGGGGAACUCCCGGGCAGAGGAGCUUUGAGUUAGCACGCACACAUCAUUGCAUCUUUUAUGCAUGCUUAGCUCCAUGGUUCUUGGUGGUAGAGGUGGUUACUAAGCAUAUAAUUUUUAAAAUAUGCUGUUAAAAAAAGAAACGAAGGUAUUGUCAGAGUUUCCAUUCAUCCCUCCCAAGCAGAUGACAAUUUAUCUGCCUUCUCCUUCUCCGUGUUCUUUGUCCUUCCAAUCAACAGUCCAUGGAGGAUCUGGUUCAGGUUCUGGAGCGGCACAGUACAAAGAGUCCUGGAUUUGAACUCUGGUCCUGCUGCUUGUUGUGCGCAAGGCUCCUCCAUCUGAUUUUUAGAUUGAGCUAUAAAAUGAAUCAAGUGCUCUCACUGGUUUCUAAGGGUUCUUCCCAUUCCAGAUUCUACAAACUGAACAAGGUCACGCCGACUCUGGGGAGGUUUAGCCUCUUCUCGAAGCCUGACCAGCCAUGCCGCUCAGCCUGGAGUCAAGAGGAAAGGAAGAUGUUCAUAAGUGCCUGCUGAAUGAGCUGAAAGCAUACACGACCCAUGCUGUUAAGUUAUACUAACUAACAUCAUUCUUAAGACUUGCCUGAUUAUCACCAUUCAUUAUUUUAAGUUUUUGUUCUUGAAUGGAUAAAAAAAUAGCCAAAGAUCAAAUGAUACAUCAAAGUUUCUGAAUAAUUCAUUUCAUCUUUGUGAGAAAAAAUAUCACAGGCUCUAGCCCUAGAUGUGAGAAAUCUAAUUUUGAGAUUAAAUGCCUCUGCCCCCUCAUCUCAGCUCUAAGCAAAUUGGGACAAAUGGACGUGG
rnacentral:lncRNA from 1 species